rnacentral:lncRNA from 1 species
UAUCAUUCUUUAUUAUGAAAUGAUGCUCCUGUAAGAAAUCCCUUUUUUGCCGGAUGUGUCUGUACUCUAAUUACAUCUUAUUUUUUUCUGUUACGAUCAGAAUAUACACACACACACACACACACACACACACACGCAUAUGCAUGUAGUCAUCAUGUUAUACUAAAGUACUUCCUUCUCUCUCCAGGUGAACAGUGGGACUUGUCUUCAGCUUCAGGUGGAUCAGCUCUGACUUGUAUGGUGAUCAGACCCAGAGAGGAGAGACAACUGGUCUAACAAGGUGAUGGACGGUUGAAAGGACGAAUAACCAAGACGAACAAGACGAGCAAAACAAUGGAGACGAGCCGCCACAGGAGCCUGAAGGGAAAGUGUGAGUAUCUUUCACCUGUACUUUACGAGGGGGAUCAAACAUGGCUGAUAUAUCUGCAGAAUACUGAUGGUCACUGUUUCUCCAGAACAAGGGAACCAGUUGGUGCUCGGCCCGGGACAGGAAGGCUCUGCAGCGGGUGAUCCAUCCAUCCACAGAACAUCAGUGACAGAGGAGAGGUCCUUCUGCAGGCGCCCUGCUGUGCAUAUUUGUCAACCGAGUCCGACGUGUUCGGGGAGCAGCCGGAGCUGCUUUUUCUCAAGGCAGGAUUA